AGGUAACAAAGGGAAAAUAACAAAAGGAUAGAUCUGUAAAACUGUAUAGGCUAAUAAUAUACGUUAAAUUAUUCUAAUAAAUUUAACUUAGAAAACGAAUAUUCAAAUUUUAUUGUUCCUUUAUGUUAUAUUAUUUUGUCCUAUUUUUAGAAAAAUGGUUAAAGAGGUUAAAGUAGAGAAACAGAAGAGUGCUUUUGAUGACAGUUGGAUUGGAGCUGCACGUAGUGAUACAGCUACUCAACAGAUCAAGAUCGAGAUGCAGGAGGAUGAAUUUGGAGAAUGUGAAUUAGCAACUAGCAGCAUCAAAGAUGAGUCAUCCUCACACAAAGGUUCAACUUCCAAUCAGAUGGCGAGUGUUAAGCAGGAAAAUGAUAGCAGCCAAGAACCAGCGCCAGAGUGCAGCACUGCAUGCUCUCUAACUGAUGAUGAUUUCAGCCAACAACAUUAUCUAAUCCCUGGCUAUAAUCUAAUAUUCAUCAAAGAGGAAGAAUAUGGUUAAAGUUGAGAAACAGGAAAGUGCUUUUGAUGACAGUUGGAUUGGAGCUGCACGUAGUGAUACAGCUACUCAGCAGAUCAAGAUCGAGAAGCAGGAG
rnacentral:misc_RNA from 1 species